rnacentral:rRNA from 1 species
UACGGAGGGUGCAAGCGUUGUUCGGAAUUACUGGGCGUAAAGGGCGCGUAGGCGGCCAGUUGCGUCGGGUGUGAAAGCCCCGGGUUCAACCUGGGAGGUGCACUUGAUACGGGCUGGCUGGAAUCCGGGAGAGGAUGGUGGAAUUCCCAGUGUAGAGGUGAAAUUCGUAGAUAUUGGGAAGAACACCGAUGGUGAAGGCAGCCAUCUGGACCGGGAUUGACGCUGAGGCGCGAAAGCGUGGGGAGCAAACAGG